GCGGCCUAUCAGCUUGUUGGUGAGGUAAUGGCUCACCAAGGCGACGACGGGUAGCCGGCCUGAGAGGGCGACCGGCCACACUGGGACUGAGACACGGCCCAGACUCCUACGGGAGGCAGCAGUGGGGAAUAUUGGGCAAUGGAGGAAACUCUGACCCAGCGACGCCGCGUGAGGGAUGAAGGCCUUCGGGUUGUAAACCGCUUUCAGCAGGGAAGAAGCGAAAGUGACGGUACCUGCAGAAGAAGCACCGGCUAACUAUGUGCCAGCAGCCGCGGUAAUACAUAGGGUGCAAGCGUUGUCCGGAAUUAUUGGGCGUAAAGAGCUCGUAGGUGGUUCGUCACGUCGGAUGUGAAAAUCUGGGGCUUAACCCCAGACCUGCAUUCGAUACGGGCGAGCUAGAGUGUGGUAGGGGAGACUGGAAUUCCU
rnacentral:rRNA from 1 species